CCUACGGGAGGCAGCAGUAAGGAAUAUUGGACAAUGGGCGAGAGCCUGAUCCAGCCAUGCCGCGUGCAGGAAGAAGGACCUAUGGUUUGUAAACUGCUUUUGAAUGGGAGAAAACCUGGGUACGUGUACCCAGCUGAUAGUACCAUUAGAAUAAGCAUCGGCUAACUUCGUGCCAGCAGCCGCGGUAAGACGAAGGAUGCAAGCGUUAUCCGGAUUCAUUGGGUUUAAAGGGAGCGUAGGCGGAUAGAUAAGUCAGUGGUGAAAUCUCUGGGCUUAACCCAGAAACUGCCAUUGAUACUGUUUAUCUAGAGUACAUUUGCUGUGGGCGGAAUAUGACAUGUAGUGGUGAAAUACUUAGAUAUGUCAUAGAACACCGAUUGCGAAGGCAGCUCACAAAAUGUAACUGACGCUGAGCUCGAAGUAGNGGGAGUACAACAGAUAGAUACCUACGUAGUCGCACUAGUAACGAUAGAUACUCG
rnacentral:rRNA from 1 species